AAUUAUCAAUCACUUUUUUCUUUGAGAAGAGGGAUUUGGAUUUGGAGUGUUGCUGGCCAUCAAAGUCAGCUCCUCUUAAAUGCAUUAGCGUGUACACUUUGUGGAAUAGGCUUUGGUUUGAUAAAAUAUCUAUGCCAUCGCCAUGAAGCAAAAAGUCAGCUACAAAUAAAAAUGAAACAUUUUGUAC
rnacentral:misc_RNA from 1 species